rnacentral:rRNA from 1 species
GGCUCAGGACGAACGCUGGCGGCGUGCCUAAUACAUGCAAGUCGAACGCACGAAGUUGAAGAGCUUGCUCUUUGACCAAGUGAGUGGCGGACGGGUGAGUAACACGUGGGUAACCUGCCCAUUAGAGGGGGAUAACAUUCGGAAACGGAUGCUAAUACCGCAUAGUUUCAGGAAUCGCAUGAUUCUUGAAGGAAAGGUGGCUUCGGCUACCACUAAUGGAUGGACCCGCGGCGUAUUAGCUAGUUGGUGAGGUAAUGGCUCACCAAGGCAAUGAUACGUAGCCGACCUGAGAGGGUGAUCGGCCACACUGGGACUGAGACACGGCCCAGACUCCUACGGGAGGCAGCAGUAGGGAAUCUUCCGCAAUGGACGAAAGUCUGACGGAGCAACGCCGCGUGAGUGAAGAAGGUUUUCGGAUCGUAAAACUCUGUUGUUAAAGAAGAACAAGGAUGAGAGUAACUGCUCAUCCCCUGACGGUAUUUAACCAGAAAGCCACGGCUAACUACGUGCCAGCAGCCGCGGUAAUACGUAGGUGGCAAGCGUUGUCCGGAUUUAUUGGGCGUAAAGCGAGCGCAGGCGGUUCUUUAAGUCUGAUGUGAAAGCCCCCGGCUCAACCGGGGAGGGUCAUUGGAAACUGGAGAACUUGAGUGCAGAAGAGGAGAGUGGAAUUCCACGUGUAGCGGUGAAAUGCGUAGAUAUGUGGAGGAACACCAGUGGCGAAGGCGAC